CAUUGUAUCUUCUUUCUUUCCCUUGUUUUGUUUUUAUUUCUCUCUUUCAUUUUAUUUUGUUAACAGAGACAGGAUGAGGUAGAGGGAAAGGAGUCACCCAGGAGACGAACUAAGUAUCCACCUGAUAACAUGGAUCUCUCAUGCUGUCUUUCUUGUUACUAAGAGUGUGUGACUUGUCACCUGCUACCAACAUUUGGUGUCUUGUCAGCAGUGAAUAAAGGCCUGUGCCUGAAUCAACUGGAGCAUUCAUUUGCAAUCCUGAAAAUGGCCAUUAAGCAGAACCUGUUGUGAGAAGGAAUGUUUGCAAGAACAGAAUGAUCUUCCAUCUCCCCAACCAAAAAGAGAAUGCCAGAUGCAGCAGUGCACCUAGUAUCUUGCUUAAUAAACAGCUCAGUCAAACGUGGAUGAAAACAGCCAGAACACAAGCCUUGGAAAAGAAAAGGGGAAGGAAAGAUGAGGACAUGAAUGCAACCUGCUCUGGAGAUGGAAGUUCACGUGGCACGUGGGGUCACCAGAAAAAUGAAUUUGUCAAUCUUCUGAUACUUCUUACUGGAUCUUUAUUCAUCAGAGGGAUCCACACCAUUUGUCAUAUAACUUUUCAUCAGGGGCCCAAGAGUGAAACAACAAGGGUAUCACACAUCAGGUUUGAGAGGUAUUCUUGUAAGGAUCUGCUUUAAGACUGAGACCACAAUCCAAGAGAAAACUGUAACACCCUUGCAAGCACAAUUUAAAGCUGGAAGAGGAGAUACUAAGUUGUAUUCAGAACGGACAGUUUCUUAGGGACAGUUAUCAACGUGUGGCUGGCAAUGAAGAACGAACUAGUUAGAGCAAGCAUGGGCUACAGAGAAAAUUAAAGCAAUCACCAUUAGUCAUUUAGGAGUACAGAAGAGAACUGGAGGCAUCUUGUGGGAAGCAGGCUACAGCUGCUACAUAGGC
rnacentral:lncRNA from 1 species